AUGAGACUGGGAAACUAGUAUUGCUUGGUUAGGUUGUUAGCCUGCAUCUGCCAAAUUUGGAUGGUUUGCUUCGAUUUCUCAACCUACAGAGCCACACGUUUUAUGAAAAUUAUCAGCUUAACAAGCAGUUGCAAAAAUGGAUGAAUGAACUCCACAUUCCCAUUCCUGUUCCCUUCACCUGUUUCAGCUUUAGCAUGUCUUUGGUAUUUUUAGAAUGAAAUCCUUGAUAUGUUGUCAUCAGUAAUGUUCACCCCUUUUGUUUCCUCCUGUAGUUUUGAACUCAAUCUGGUAGAAAUCUAGCUGUAAGUUUUCUUUCUUUACAAGACGGAUUUUCCAUGUCAGGUAGACUCAGAGCAAUAGUCAAGGCAUUGUCUCUGGUGUUUGUAUAUUUGGUGGAUUUUACUCUUAUGCAAUGCCACCUUCCUGUUGGUGAUGAGCAGUUCCAGUUGUGCGAAUCUGAGAAAUGGUCAAACGCGCUUUUGUAUUGUUGUAGUUGCAGUUGGCGUAAUCAUCACUUCCAGGCUUGAAGUGAUUUCUUCCAAGCUUCAGUCUUUUAAGGGUUAGACUUAUGACACAGACACUGGCAACUAUUGUUACUGGAACCAGGAAAAAAUAGUAAGAAAAAAAUCAGGUGGAAGUUGUUUUUGAGGGUUUGAGUUUGCACAAGAA